rnacentral:rRNA from 1 species
UACGGAGGGGACUAGCGUUGUUCGGAAUUACUGGGCGUAAAGCGCACGUAGGCGGAUUUGUAAGUCAGGGGUGAAAUCCCGGGGCUCAACCUCGGAACUGCCUUUGAUACUGCAAAUCUCGAGUCCGGAAGAGGUGAGUGGAAUUCCUAGUGUAGAGGUGAAAUUCGUAGAUAUUAGGAGGAACACCAAUAGCGAAGGCAGCUCGCUGGGACGGUACUGACGCUAAGGCGCGAAAGCGUGGGGAGCGAACAGG